rnacentral:lncRNA from 10 species
GCUUCCAAGUAGCUGGGAAUACAGGCGCCCGCCACCACGCCCGGCUAAUAUUUUUGUAUUUUUAGUAUAGACAGGGUUUCACCGUGUUAGCCAGGAUGGUCUUGAUCUCCUGACCUCGUGAUCCGCCCGCCUCGGCCUCCGAAAGCGCUGGGAUUACAGGCGUGAGCCACCGCGCCCGGCCAUUGCUUUCUUGCAGCAACUGGGGAUUGUUGAUUCGGGACCCCUAGUCGGAGGGUGAUUUACACGUCAGUUGCAGCGCGUUGGUCAAUGUUCCAGGCUGUCAGCUCGGCACCGCCCUCAGGGCUCAAGCUACACAGGGCAUUGAAAGGUAACUGAGGUGACUUAACAAUGAAACAAGUCAGAAAUGUCCUGAUAGAGACCAAAGGAAGACAAUAUUUCAGACUCCUCUGGUGAGUAUAUAAAUCUUGAGCAAUAAUUGGGUACUAAAUUAUUUGACAUCUAAAAUGGCAAUAAAAGACAUUGUGUUAAAUCCUUAUUUAUUUAAAAUAAAACAGAUUUAUUGAAAGAAAUGAACUAUUUCUGAAACUCAAAAAAUAUAUAAUAGUUUAUCACAAGGGUGCUUCUGUAAAGUAUAUUGAGUGACAUGCAGAAAAAUAGAUCAGAUUUUCUGAGAUAGCGAAAUGGUGUUUAAGUGUGACCUAAAGUCUGUGUGACUUCACAUUUCCUAGCUUUCUGCUUCUAUCUCCUCCAAAAUGUUGUACACUACAGCUUCACCUUGUGCCACACACCACUCAUCCGUUUUUUUAUUGCUUCUGGACGAACGAUUAUUUUUAGCAAUGACCUGCAAGCCUUUUCGAGAAUGCUUAGAUCAACUUGCCAGAAUGUCUUGCUUCAUGCACAGACCCAGAUUCUAGUCUCACCAGGCUUCUCUCUGAAUAUUUUGAACAUUCAAAUGCAACUUUAGAUUUGUGUCCAACUCUUUCUUUCCUAAAUCUAACUCUCCUGACAAGAAUUCUCCCACAAAGGUGGUGUCAAAUAUUUUCCAAUCUAUCAUCAUAAUCUUGAACUAAACUCUUUCAUCAAAUCUACUUGACAGCUGUCAUUUUUUCUAUAUAUAUCCAUAUAACAUUUAUUUUUAUCUGUCAAUUCCCUAUGUCAUUAAAAAUCAAAAUAUAUGAGGAUAGAGGUUGUGUCUAAUUUUCAUCGUAUAUUUCUAAGACAGCAAAAGUUAACCAUUCAGGAGAUGACCAAAAACUUUAUUAAAAUGGGGAAGAAUGUAACACUAACAAAUCUAUUUAGAGGAGAAUGUGUAUUUUCUUAUCACAUUAAAAUCUUUUUUUAAUUCAAAGAAAAUAUCUGAAUUUCAGCGAGUGAUCUGAUUAAGGCAUGAUUUUGUACCUAUGUCUCUUUCUUUCAUUUUAAAGUUUUUUUUCCCCAAGUCUCAAUUAAGUAUUAAAUAUUGUGAUGUUAACACGUACUCUUUCCCUAACACACACUCUCUCUCUCUCUCUCUGUCUCUCUCAAUCUCUCUCUCUCUCUCUCCCUCACAACAACAGCUUUUCUUGAGAAGUCACCUUAAACCAGUGGGCUUGGGAACCUGACUUAAAUGAGCUUUUAGUGAGAAGUGGCAUUUUUGGAAACUUUAGGCUUAAUCUUUUUUGACUUGACAAAAGAACUUCUAAGGGUGGCUCCUGGUACUGUUUCCUGGCCACUUGCUUCUUUUCCUGUGUAGUUGCAUGUUAAACAUGAUGACUUGCUGUAUAGAAGCCAUGUGUUGUCAUAAUGUAACAUCAUUAAACAAAGUGUUUAGAGCAGUUUUAGCUGAGCCAGAACAUGAACAACAAAACCCGCCAAUUACAGUGUCAUUUUGUGUAGUUGUUAAGGUUUCAAAUGUCUCCAACUUUUUCUGGUAGGCCAUAUUGAGCAUGUCACAGUGAACAUCUGAGAUAACGAUUUGCUAGGCAAUGUGCAAUUCUCGCUCCUUUUUUUAAUAUCAGAGAAGAAAGAGUUCUUUAUAAUAAUUUGGCUCAAAUGUCUACACACAUUGCUCCAGCGUCUGUAGCAGCAUGUGUUUCUAGGAUUGUUCUGGAAGAGAAAAUGCAGAAACAGCAGGGAGCAGAAGAUAAACAGGCAAUCCGUGACUCAUUAAAACAAGCAUUGGUCGCCAACAUUGUGGAGUGUGUGAAGACCCCAGAUCCAACUCGCCUAUAAACUUUUUUUUACCAGCUGGACUUAGCAUCUGCCAGAGUUUGGAAAGAGAGAUAAUCUGGUACAAAUGAUUUCAGUGUGUCGCAUUUAUUAACCUGCCACCUUACAUAACUCUGCUGAUUGGGAACUCAGGGAAAUGUUUGAGCAAUGACACAGCUUAUUGUUGGAAUGUUACAACUUUACUAAUAAAGAUGCAAGUUACUGUUUAAAAAAAAAUACAAAGACCACAGAGCAAUUGGAAAAUAAAAAUGAAGCAAAGCUAAAAAGCAUCAUGGUCUUGAGAAAUGUACGUGCCAGAAAAAUAAUUGAAAUUCAGUUUGAAUUUUGAUCAUUUUCAGUGCUUUACAUCAAUUAGGCAGGAAAAGUAUUUUAUUUUUAAAUAGUUGUCACAUUAGUUUGUCUUAACAGCUUUGAUGUAAAUAAAUGCCAAACUGGGAGCAUUAUCAUGUCCUUUCCAAACUACUUACUGUUCUAAAUGAAUGAUUCGCUUCUGUUGUUAAAUCUCUGACAAUUGCUAGAAGGGCAUUUUCACAGUAGAACUGAAGGAAAAGUAAAAUAGUGCCCAUUUUUGUUUAUAUACAAAACCGUGUCCAUUUUUGUCUUAAACAGCCUGCCUGGCUUCACAGUUUAUUAAAGACAAAGAACAUUACCCCAGGAAUAAAAUCAGUACCGAUAACCUGCAUACUUUUCAUUCUUGGGCUUUGAUUUACUUCCUUUUUUGCCUCAAAGUUUGCUUGGGAUCAUUUGGUCAAGAGGUGGAAACACCAAAGAGCAAUUUUCUUUUUUCUAUUUCUUAUCCAGAUCUCAUGCCAGUAAUUUCAAAUUAAUGAGGAUGUUUACUCUCUGGUACAAAAUUUGCACAUACUAGCUUAUAAAAUAUGGAUAAGCUGGUUUCCUAUAACAAAAUAUAGCCCUACCAUUUCAAAAAUGAAAACUGCAGAGACUUUGGAAAAAAAUCAGCUGAAGGAAUUCUUCACGUUUCACAAUGGUUAGCCUAUUAUUUGUAGUUUUGAAACUUUAUUGGUCCCCAAUCUAAUCUUUUCUGAGUAUAAAAACAUUAACAUAUGGUUUAACACAGCACAGGGCUGGAAAGUCCAUAUCCCAAAUGCAUAUUGUAUGCAGGGUGACAUUCACACUAAAUACCAUCCCUCAGGGUCUGUACUCCAUUUUACCUGGGAUUGGAGAGCCAUGAAAUCCCUGGAAAAGUUGUUCAUGAGUCUGAACCAAAUGGUGUGCAGUGUACUGAGAUACUAACAGUCUAUGCUUCUGCCAAAGGUUGCGGCUCAAAUGUCUCUCUAAGUAACAUUAAAAAUCUGCUGCUUCAUGCCUAUGAAUUUCAAUAUUUAUAGCAUUCAAUAAAACGGUCCACUGUCAGAGAGAGAUGUGCCACUGUGCACUCUCUGAGCAGAUGGGCGGCAAUAUGGCACAUUUACAUGGACCAGCUGUGGAGCGCAGAAAUGGAUGCUGGUCAGGGGCAAGGUGCAGGCCCCACAUCUGGAAUUCUAACCGACUGGCCUCGGUACCCAUUGUAAACUUUCCUUCCACAGGGUGAGCUCUGAUUUAGAGCUGCUCACUAGUGUGCCUUAAACUGCAUCAAGAGUCCUCAUUAACGCAAGAGACUAGAGGGAGGUUAGGGCCUGGAAUCCCUCUGUCGGGCAUCUGUUAGAGUCUGUGGAUGGCACUCUGUAGUCGUUAUAGAUGCACCCAGGGGAAGAUUCUCUCAGGCAUGAUGCAGUGUUCUCUAUUUAACUGAUUUUAUACCCCCAAAAAAGAGGUUUUUAUUAUAAACAGAGCUACUUUUUCCAUAUCCCCUUUUCUAAAUGGAUCAGAAUAUACCUCAGAGAAAGGACAAUUUCUAGAAUAUUUAAAAAUUUCGUAGAAAUGUCGAAUUCUUUUUUCAAGUCUCAAAUGGAACGUUGUCUUAUUUUGGGUAGAAUCAGAAUGGUUCAAAUGCAGUUAGAAGUUUCUAAAAUAUAUGAAAUUCUUAGACUAGCUGUUUUCAUUGUAGUAUCACUAUUCAGACAAUCAAAACAGCUUAGUUGUGUGUCAUUUAAAUAAUUCAACUGACUUGAUAGAAAGGUAAGCUGCUUUUGACAUUUUAAAUAUGAACAAGAAAUGGUUUGUUACAUUCAAAUACUCAUCAGAAAUAACAUUCCUGUUUCAUUUUCAAUAAAUACUUUUAAGAGAAAGUUCUACUCAUUCUUUCAUUUUGUAAAAUAAUCUUUCCCACAUUUUCCAAUUAUUGACUAAGAUGUAUUUGGUCUUCAGUGGUCCCAUCUCUUGAAUAGUUGUUUAUAUCCUUACGUUACUGAGUAUUCAUUUUCUAUGACAAUCUCUCAAGAUCUAUUCCAGUCUCCUUUCACCCCCAAGAGAAACGCAGGUAUUUUAAGCAAGUGAGACAAUACAACUCGUUAUCAAAUGGGUUAUGGUAACUCAAUCAUGUAAUGUAUGGAUAUUUUAGGGUCUCAUCAUUCAACACUCAACUUUAAAACUACUCUGAAAUCUAAACAUAGAUAUGUAUUUAUGCUAUUUGGCCUCAAUCUUCAAAAAGGAAAAUUUUGGCCAGGCGCGUUGGCUCACGCCUGUAAUUCCAGCACUUUGAGAGGCCGAGGGGGGCAGAUCACCUGAGGUCAGGAGUUCGAGACCAGCCUGGCCAACACGGAGAAACCCCAUCUCUACCAAAAGUACAAAACUAGCCAGGCGUGGUGGCACGUGCCUGUAAUUCCAGCCACGCAGGAGGCUGAGGCAGGAGAAUAGCUUGAA